UUGAACGCUGGCGGCAUGCUUUACACAUGCAAGUCGAACGGCAGCGCGGGCUUCGGCCUGGCGGCGAGUGGCGAACGGGUGAGUAAUGCGUCGGAACGUGCCCAGUAGUGGGGGAUAGCCCGGCGAAAGCCGGAUUAAUACCGCAUACGACCUGAGGGUGAAAGCGGGGGACCGAAAGGCCUCGCGCUAUUGGAGCGGCCGAUGUCGGAUUAGCUAGUUGGUGGGGUAAAGGCUUACCAAGGCGACGAUCCGUAGCUGGUCUGAGAGGACGACCAGCCACACUGGGACUGAGACACGGCCCAGACUCCUACGGGAGGCAGCAGUGGGGAAUUUUGGACAAUGGGGGCAACCCUGAUCCAGCCAUGCCGCGUGCGGGAAGAAGGCCUUCGGGUUGUAAACCGCUUUUGUUCGGGAAGAAAUCCUCUGGGCUAAUACCCCGGGGGGAUGACGGUACCGGAAGAAUAAGCACCGGCUAACUACGU
rnacentral:rRNA from 1 species